AUUGAACGCUGGCGGCAGGCCUAACACAUGCAAGUCGAGCGAGCGGCGGACGGGUGAGUAAUGUCUGGGAAACUGCCUGAUGGAGGGGGAUAACUACUGGAAACGGUAGCUAAUACCGCAUACCAUCAGAUGUGCCCAGAUGGGAUUCGCUGGUUGGUGGGGUAACGGCUCCCCUAGGCGACGAUCCCUAGCUGGUCUGAGAGGAUGACCAGCCACACUGGAACGGAGACACGGUCCAGACUCCUACGGGAGGCAGCAGUGGGGAAUAUUGGACAAGGGGCGAAAGCCUGAUGCAGCCAUGCCGCGUGUGGGAAGAAGGUCUUCGGAUUGUAAAGCACUUUAAGUUGGGAGGCGUUACCAGCAGAAUAAGCACCGGCUAACUUCGUGCCAGCAGCCGCGGUAAUAC
rnacentral:rRNA from 1 species